AACUAAACUGUACUGCUACAGUAUCAUUAAUUACUACUCUAAUCAAAGUGAACAAAUUAUUAGAAUUAGUAAAACUAGAAUUAAAAAUAAUAGUAUAAUAUAAUAAUAGAAAAGGAAUAAAAGAACUAACCAGAAGAUGAAGAAGAGAGGAAGAGAUGAGGAGAGUGAAUUGGGACAGUAUAACUGAAUUUUGGGUUUAGUUUAAAACCAAAACAGAGACCCAUAAUUUAAUUCUUUGUUCCAUGAAAGUGUUGUCU
rnacentral:lncRNA from 1 species